GCACCUUGGUUCGAUUCCCGGGCUGCACAGCCCUCUUGUGUGCAACAAACAUAGACUUUGUUCUUGAUUAGAAAAAGCUUUUUGUCAGCAUCUUAUCAUGCAAACGAGAUUCAGAUUCAGGCUGCAGAGAUUCAGAUUCAAGCUGCAGAGAUUCAGAUUCAGGCUGUUGAGAGUUUCAGGCUCAACCUCUCCGCUUUAAACACCAACGCUGUUUUUCUGACCAAUUAUUCGACGUUGAAGCCAGAACAUUUUGUAAGAGCUGAUUUAAUUUGGGGAAAAAGUUGACGACCACCGGAAGCUGAGCGAGUUCACGGAGAGGAAUCGGCCGAAGAGACGUCACAUCUGUCUGUUCACACUCAGCACAUCAGGAACACAAACCUCCCUCAGAAACAACGCUUCCAGUGGAAAGUCAACAGGCUAAAUCAUCUCAAUACAUUUAUCUUUUAUAUUAUUUUAACGUCUUUCCGUGGUUGAUAUUUAAAGCCAUUAUUAUUUCAUAUAUCAUGUAUGUUUACCUUUAUGAAUAAGAUUAACGUGCGUUUAUUAUUAAUAUGACCCUAUCAUAAUAAUAGCAGUUGCAAUUUUAAGGUUAAAUGAAGUAGCCGUUGAUUAACGAUUAUUGACUUAAUACUAUGAAGCAUCAGUGCAUGAGGUGCUUCAUUUGCGAUGAAUAAAUGAGAGUCCUGCAGGGAAACUACAAUUAAAACCACAGAAGAAGAGGAGUGGCAGGGACACAUGUAACAUGUUCAGCAACAACACGAGUCAGUCGACCUCCGUCCAACACCUAACCCCCCUCCCCCCUCACUCAGAGCCCCUCCUCCCCCCGCCCUGCUCUCCGGACAGAUGUUAGAAACAUUACGAGACACGGCCAGCGAAGGAGAAAAAAAGAGCCCGUGUAAGUUUUCCAGAAAGAAUGUUUUAAUGGCGCUGCUUUAAGAGACGUCGGCCCGCUGCAGGAAUUCAAUUACAGCUGAUUGAGUGUUGACAUUUCUGAGGCCGCAAGACAGGAAAUUCAUUAAAAGCAGCAGUGCAUCUUGGGAGGGAAAGUAGCGCCGCGUAGACAGAACCCGUCGGGCCGAGGUGAUGGUGGGACGGGUCGCUGCUCGGGUCGGCCUGCCGCUCGCCCGCCUCUCUCUCUCUCUCGCCGCAUUGAUCGAGAAACAACCGGCCCACGGACUCACCGAGGGAGGGUGGAGGAGGGUGGAGGAGGAAUAAUGUGAGACAUUGAUUCUGACCAGGCGUGGUAUUGUAAUAACAUCUGUGAGCGGUUUGUGACGGCGAGGACGGGUCAUCGCGGCGCGGUCGGGUCGACGCUUCGUUUUGCUGCUGUUCAUCCUCUACCUGCAUAUUAUCACACGCAUAACCUCCCGUACUUAAAUAUAUUAGUAAUUAUACAUAGGAAAGGUCCAGUUGGAGAAGGUUCCUGGGAGAGAAGGUCCUCUUCUGUGUUAUAAGUCCUGAGGAUCCAUCCUGGUUAUUUGAUAUUAUGCUUUAUGUAAUGAAUGUCUUCACAAGGCUUCUUCAAACUUUUAAUAGAAAUAUGUCAGAAAACAUGGAGGAAUUUGAAGCUUUUUAUUUAACUCAUGACCUUCAGCGAUGUUUGGGAAUCCGACACACCUGAUGAUCCGUCUCUUCCAACACACGUGUGUUGUUUAAUCAGAGCUUUUGCUCCUCCGAGGUUUGGUUUUCCUCGUCAGCGCGAGAAGAUAAAACAACAUCCCGACCACAAGUGGAAGGGAUCGAACAUCUGUUCCACCAGAACAGCUGAUCCUUCGUGACUUUUAUUCUGAAUCAUGUGACUCAGAAUGUAGACACAAGCUCGUUUCAGCUUCAGUCCAGUUUGUACAGUCGCUGAGAGCAACAUCGGGACAGGAGAAGAGAAGAAAGGAGAAGGAGAGGUGGAAGAAGAAUGACGAAACAGAAAGAUAUGAAGACAAAGCAGCAAAAGAUGAGGAAGAAGAUGACAAAGAGGAAGAAGAGGACAGUUUCCAUCUGCAGACACAAACUCUACUGAGAGCAUAAUUAAAUGUAAAGCGUGUAAUAAAAGCACAUCUGGAGCUCAACUAUUUAUUUGAUUAAACAUCUGUAUUUAAAUGCACCAGACUUAUAUGUUAUACGUUGCUGAUGAAGUCUCUUUUUUACUGCAAUGAAAGAUGAGAGGAGAGC
ensembl:lncRNA